rnacentral:rRNA from 1 species
UACGUAGGGACCAAGCGUUGUUCGGAUUUACUGGGCGUAAAGGGCGCGUAGGCGGCAAUUCAAGUCAGCUGUGAAAUCUCCGGGCUUAACUCGGAACGGUCAGCUGAUACUGCUUUGCUAGAGUGCAGAAGGGGCAAUCGGAAUUCUUGGUGUAGCGGUGAAAUGCGUAGAUAUCAAGAGGAACACCUGAGGUGAAGACGGGUUGCUGGGCUGACACUGACGCUGAGUGCGCGAAAAGCUAGGGGUAGCAAACGGGG